UUCGAUGAUGAUUUUUCCAUAUUUUUGAGGUUAGUUUGCUUCAAGCCCCUGCUUACAGGGAGAACCUACUUGAGGCUGCUAUACCAUAGCAUGAAAUUUCUGGAUUAUUCUGAGAC